UACAGAGGGGGCAAGCGUUGUUCGGAAUUACUGGGCGUAAAGGGCGCGUAGGCGGCCCGCUAAGUCGAACGUGAAAUCCCCGAGCUCAACUCGGGAACUGCGUCCGAUACUGGCGGGCUUGAAUCCGGGAGAGGGAUGCGGAAUUCCAGGUGUAGCGGUGAAAUGCGUAGAUAUCUGGAGGAACACCUAUGGCGAAGGCAGCUCGCUGGGACGUUACUGACGCUGAGACGCGAAAGCGUGGGGAGCAAACAGG
rnacentral:rRNA from 1 species